rnacentral:rRNA from 1 species
AAUGAACACUGGCGGCGUGCCUAACACAUGCAAGUCGGAUGUGCCGCAAGGUGCAUGGCAGACGGGUGAGUAACGCGUGGGGAAUCUACCUUUUUGUGGGGAAUAACGCUCCGAAAGGAGUGGUAAUACCGCAUGAGACCGCAGCCUGGGAUGGUUGUGGUGAAACCUGGGGACCGCAAGGCCUGGGGCAAAGAGAGGAUCCUGCGUCUGAUUAGCUAGUUGGCGGGGUAAUGGCCCACCAAGGCGACGAUCAGUAGCCGGCCUGAGAGGGUGAUCGGCCACACUGGAACUGAGACACGGGUCCAGACUCCUACGGGAGGCAGCAGUGGGGAAUUUUUGCGCAAUGGGCGAAAGCCUGACGCAGCAACGCCGCGUGGGUGAUGAAGGUCUUCGGACUGUAAAACCCUGUCGUCAGGGACGAAGGUGCGCACGUUAUAGCGUGUGUACUUGACAGUACCUGGAGAGGGAAGCCCC